UACGUAGGGUGCAAGCGUUGUCCGGAAUUAUUGGGCGUAAAGAGCUCGUAGGUGGCCUGUCGCGUCGGCUGUGAAAUCUCGGGGCUCAACUCCGAGCUUGCAGUCGAUACGGGCAGGCUAGAGUUCGGCAGGGGAGACUGGAAUUCCUGGUGUAGCGGUGAAAUGCGCAGAUAUCAGGAGGAACACCGGUGGCGAAGGCGGGUCUCUGGGCCGAUACUGACGCUGAGGAGCGAAAGCGUGGGGAGCGAACAGG
rnacentral:rRNA from 1 species